rnacentral:rRNA from 1 species
GACGAACGCUGGCGGCGUGCUUAACACAUGCAAGUCGAACGGUAAGGCCCUUCGGGGUACACGAGUGGCGAACGGGUGAGUAACACGUGGGUGAUCUGCCCUGCACUUCGGGAUAAGCCUGGGAAACUGGGUCUAAUACCGGAUAGGACUCCUGGCUUCAUGGUUGGGGGUGGAAAGCUUUUGCGGUGUGGGAUGGGCCCGCGGCCUAUCAGCUUGUUGGUGGGGUAAUGGCCUACCAAGGCGACGACGGGUAGCCGGCCUGAGAGGGUGACCGGUCACACUGGGACUGAGAUACGGCCCAGCAUCCUACGGGAGGCAGCAGUGGGGAAUAUUGCACAAUGGGCGCAAGCCUGAUGCAGCGACGCCGCGUGAGGGAUGACGGCCUUCGGGUUGUAAACCUCUUUCAGCUAUGACGAAGCGCAAGUGACGGUAGUAGCAGAAGAAGGACCGGCCAACUACGUGCCAGCAGCCGCCGUAA